rnacentral:rRNA from 1 species
UACGUAGGGUCCGAGCGUUGUCCGGAAUUACUGGGCGUAAAGAGCUCGUAGGUGGUUUGUCGCGUUGUUCGUGAAAACUCACAGCUUAACUGUGGGCGUGCGGGCCAUACGGGCAGACUGGAGUACUGCAGGGGAGACUGGAAUUCCUGGGGUAGCGGUGGAAUGCGCAGAUAUCAGGAGGAACACCGGUGGCGAAGGCGGGUCUCUGGGCAGUAACUGACGCUGAGGAGCGAAAGCGUGGGGAGCGAACAGG